AGUUGAAUAAUGUACAGUACACUGUACAAAUUUUCUUCGCGGCAUUGAUGCAUGGACACGUGCGCGGGCGCAGUGCAACCGUCGCGCAUUGCUCUAUAAGCUAGCCACCUGAUCGAAUAAAGUAAACUAAUGGUCUAUGCUACUAUGGACGUGACUUUUAUUACACACCGUACUAUAAAUUUUAAAUUAGUGCGAUACAUCUACACUUUUAAAUAUAAUUUAGUUUAAUUAUGAAAGGUAAAUUUUAAAUAAUUCUUACAUGAAACUGUAAUUUCGAAUGAUUUAUAUCUAUGUAUUAUUUUGAUUUUACAGAAAGUGA